rnacentral:misc_RNA from 1 species
AAGACCCACCAUCAGAAUUCGCAUUUCCUUCUUGGCAAAAAGCCGGCUGAAAAGCUUCGUGAAUGUCAACCCCAUUGCUGCUUCUCAGCUAUUGAUCCCUUUCUGGAGAGAUUCGCAGAGGGAUCCGAGAGAGAAAUCACAGAGAGAACGAGGGCGCGAGAGUAGGAGAGAAGGAAAUGGGAGAAAAUAAGAGAAGAAGCUUAACAGCAACGCGUUAUGGAAG